GAUGAACGCUGGCGGCGUGCCUAAUACAUGCAAGUCGAGCGAAUGGAUUAAGAGCUUGCUCUUAUGAAGUUAGCGGCGGACGGGUGAGUAACACGUGGGUAACCUGCCCAUAAGACUGGGAUAACUCCGGGAAACCGGGGCUAAUACCGGAUAACAUUUUGAACCGCAUGGUUCGAAAUUGAAAGGCGGCUUCGGCUGUCACUUAUGGAUGGACCCGCUUCGCAUUAGCUAGUUGGUGAGGUAACGGCGCACCAAGGCAACGAUGCGUAGCCGAACAGGGAGGGUGAUCGGCCACACUGGGACUGAGACAAGGCCCAGACUCCUACGGGAGGCAGCAGUAGGGAAUCUUCCGCAAUGGACGAAAGUCUGACGGAGCAACGCCGCGUGAGUGAUGAAGGCUUUCGGGUCGUAAAACUCUGUUGUUAGGGAAGAACAAGUGCUAGUUGAAUAAGCUGGCACCUUGACGGUACCUAACCAGAAAGCCACGGCUAACUACGUGCCAGCAGCCGCGGUAA
rnacentral:rRNA from 1 species